AGAUUUAUUGCCUGGAGAUGAUCUCGCGUCUGAUUAGCUAGUUGGUGUGGUAAGAGCGCACCAAGGCGACGAUCAGUAGCUGGUCUGAGAGGAUGAUCAGCCACACUGGGACUGAGACACGGCCCAGACUCCUACGGGAGGCAGCAGUGGGGAAUUUUCCGCAAUGGGCGAAAGCCUGACGGAGCAAUACCGCGUGAGGGAGGAAGGCUCUUGGGUUGUAAACCCUCUUUUCUCCAGGGAAUAAAAAAAUGAAGGUACCUGAGGAAUAAAGCAUCGGCUAACUUUCGUGCCAGCAGCCGCGGUAAUACGGAAGGAUUGCUAGCCUUUAUCCCGGAAAUGAUUGGGCGGUAAAGGGUUCCCCAGGUGGCAAUGGUAAAGUCUGCCUGUCAAAAAAUGAGGCUUAAACCUCCUUCAAGGCAGGGGAAACUUACCUUACUUAGAGUAACGGCUGGGGUAAAAAGGAAUUUCCGGGUGUAACGGUGAAAUUGCGUAAAAAUCAAGAAAAAAACCCGGUGGCGAAAGCG
rnacentral:rRNA from 1 species